rnacentral:ncRNA from 1 species
GUUUUGACGGAGACUAGGAGUAGUAGCUUACGUUGUAUGGCAGACAGAGAGUCGGCGGUUGGUGCAAGCCGAUAGUCAGAAGACAAGUGAACUCACCUGGGAGUCGCAUCGUUGAACAGCAUGGAUGGUAUGUUCCGUUCAUCCUUUAGAUGAUGCCGUGAUGCUCGCGUUAAGAGCUUCAAGGGAGCGCAAAGCAAGGCAUGGUUUGCGCUAACUAGGGUGGUACCGCGGGAACGUCAAGUCUCUCGUCCCUAGC